AAAAAUACUUCUCCUCUGUAAUUGCACAUUAAAGAGUGGGCUCUAAUAGUGCAAUGACUCAUCUUGACAUUUGACUGGUGUUCCAAGUAUAUGCUUGGAAUUGUCAUCCCAGGCUGAAGAGUGAGACCUGGAAGCUAGGCUUAGUCCUUUUUUGUUCACAUUUUCACAUGGUACUGAUGUCUACAGAAAUGACUAAAUCAAAGAUACAUUUAAGACUCUCUUCUUCAAUUUAGCUCUGAGCCUUUGUUGGUGGUUAACAUUAUACUAUAUCCAUUAUUCAGGAUUCUGAUGUGUGUGCAUGUGGAUCAUUUCUUCUGAUUUUGAUCAAUUACACAAAGUGCCAUUGCUUUCUGUAUUGCUUUGAAAUUUAAAAAUGUGACAAAAACUCUAGCUCUGAAGUGUGUGUAAUAGAAUUACUGACUUCUGGGGGCAUCUGGCUGACUUGGUAGGGCAUGUGACUCUUAAUCUCGGGGUCGUGAGUUCAGGCUCCACUUUGGGCACAGAGUUUACUUAAAAAAAAAAAAAAUACUGACUUCUUCAUUUCGUUUUUUUCUAGUGGAAAACCGAGGGAGUUUAAAGGAACAGAAUAUCAUUUUUCAGAAUUAUUUCAUUUUUAAGUACCAUUUUAUCUUAUUUUUGAUUUAAAAAUAACUAUUGUUUCAAACUCCGAGGAUGAUUUCUCUUUUUGGCUAAUGAAAGUGGACCUAAUUAAGUCAAAAUUAGAAAAAGAAAUGGGGAGAAACUUCAUGGCCUAUUUUCGUGUUUGAUUUGGGCAGGCAGAGGAGCUCUCCAGUUUUCCCUCCCAGCACUGUAAACUCUCAGAAUCCUUGGGAGUGAGAGGUGGCCCAUAGUUCUUCCUACAUCAACCAUUAAGGCUACAUAGUGACACCUGCUGUCAAGGACAGGAAUUCGUGGUGGCUAAACCUCACUGACUACCAGGCUUGGAGUGUGAUAACUGACUGCUUCUUCUAGCAUUCUGGAAUGGCCUAAUAGAGCUAAAUCUUGAAUCACUUGGAAUCUGGAGUUCAAUCAUUGUAGAAUUCAAGGAGAACUGACAUGGCUAUUAAGCAGAUGUCAUAGAAGGGAGACAGUGGAUGUUUGGUUACAGAAGCCAAAUACAGUGAGACAAAAUGAGCCAUAUGUCUUCUCUUUGUACUUUUAGGCUUGUAGAUACCUAGAGGGCUCUAUCUUUUCCUUUUUUCACAUUGAAUGUAUCGAAUGACUUCUGUGAUUCCACUAUAGAAAUUUAAGGGGGGUAGGCGCCUGACUGGCUCAGAGUGUGAUCAAGACUGGCUCUUGUAAGCCAGUUGUGAGUUCAAGCCCCAGGUUGCAUGUAGAGCCUUCUUAGAAUAGAAAAGAAUGGAUUGGAAUGAAUUGGAAUGGAUUGGAAUGCAAUAGAAUGGAAUGGAAUGGAAUGGGAUGGGAUGGAAUGGAAUGGAACGGAAUGGAAUAAAUUAUUUCAGGAAUUUAAGGUCUUAGAGAGCUGGAUGAUGGACUCCACAGUGCAUACACUAAUAAAUAUAUUACUGGAGUCACAUUGCUGAGUACCACUCCUCUAGAGAAACAGUCUUGUGGCAGUCGCAAGCUUUUGGUACAUUUCAAGAGUUGAGCAUUCUCUAUUUAAAGAAGAAGAAAAAUUAGCUGUUGAGAUAAUAUUUUAAUCCUAACUUGAUUGUGUUUUAUAUCAGAGAUUGUAUUGUAUUUUAGAACCAGACACUAAAGGCACAGUUGACAACCUCAUUGUUCUACUUACUGUAUUUUCCUCUUGAUUCCUGAAGAGUUCCAAAUUUUGGAUUAAGACCUAGAAAGGAACUUCUUGUCUAGAAUCCUUUUAUACAGUAAGUAAUCUGUUCGAAUGAUAAGGGAGGUAUUAUAGGAAGAAUUCCCCUGAAGCAUUUUUCUUACGUUUAAAGGAAAUACUGCUACUUUUUUCACAAAAGUACCUAAUUGGCAUAAAUUACUAAUUUUUUUCACAUAUACUUUAUCCCUUUAAUUACUAAAAUUUCGAAAACCUGCUUCCUGUUCCUUUCUAGUAAAUAUAAACAAAAUAAGCAAUCUCUUAAUUAAGAUUUGUUAUCCAGUCCAGUGAAUCAUAUACAACUUUUUUGGAAUUGUCAUGCUGGGUGGUAUCUUUCUUCUCAUUUCUCUCUGAGAAGUACUGAUUACUAGUGUUUUCCAUCUUAAUUUAAAGUAAUUAAAAAAAUAAGGUAUCAUUUAAAAAAUAAUUGCUAAUUCUCUAGGCAAUUGAUGAAGAAAUUCUUCAAGUAGAUGUGGUCUUUGAGCUAAAUUUAAUCUGAAACUUUUUAUUUAAUUUUGUUAAUAAUGUAAUAUCCCACCAAGAAAUUCUCUCCCUGGGAGUUUAUCCCAGUUUGAAAUAAAUCUUGGUGUCUAAAUAACAGUUAAAAAGAACUUGUAACUGUGGUUAAUCAAAAUUGACCGUUCAGAUGCACAAAGCUUGUAACACUCGAUUUCUUGGCUUGUGAGCUGAGGCUUUAAUGAGUCGUGUUUUAUUAAUGCUUGUCUCCUCCCUUUUCCUUUGAUAUCUUGGAAUAUUUUUCUUUUACAUCUGGUUGCUUUCUUCUCUCUUCCUUCUGUUUUUUCUUUAAGCUUUAACGGGGCAUAAUAUGAAAUCUUAGUGUAUUUUAAAAUUUUCUUCCAAGACUUUAUUUAACCACAUUUAAAUAUCUGAAAAAAAUUAGGGGAGGAAAAUAAUUUGAAUGUUUUUUCAUUUUACGCUCUUAGUUUUUCUCUCCCUCUGAUCUCUAAAUGAGUCAAAGCUCCUUAUUUUUAAAAAAGGUGGUGGUAGGAGGUAAUCUUUUCAUUUAUAUUUUUACCCUUCCCGACUUACUGAGAUGUAAUUGACAAAUAAGAUGGUAUAUAUUUCAAGGGUGCAGUGUGACAACUUGAUAUACAUAUAUGUUACAAAAGGACUCUCACAAUCAAGUUAACAAAUCCGUCACCUGAGAAUUAUGUUUUUUUUAAUUUUAAUUUUUGUGGUGAGAAUGCUUAAGAUUUAGUCUCUUAAAAAUCCAAAUAUAUACUGCAAUAUUAUUAACUGUAGUCACCAUGUGAUAUGUGAGAUCCUAAGAAUGUAUUCAUCUUAUAACUUAAAGUUUGUAGGCUUUGGCCUAGAUCUCUGAUAGGAGAUAAUCUUUAAGUAUCACCAGUUCCCUACCCUUUUGGAAAACCAGGACGGGAAAUAUGUUUUUUAAAAGAUGAAAACAGGUGCCUGCCUGGCUGGCUCAGUCGGUUAAGCGUCCGACCCUUGAUUUUGGCUCAGGUCAUGAUCUCAUGGUUCACAAGAUUGAGCCCUCUGUUGGGCUCUGCACUGAUGGCAUGGAGCCUGCUUGGGAUUCUCUCUCUCCAUCUCUCUGUGCCCCCACCUCACUCGUGCAUCUCUCUCUGUCAAAAUAAAUAAACUUAAAAAAAAAAAA